GCCAGUGUGGUGCAGUGGUUUGAGGAUAGGACUAUGAUUCUGGAGACCAGGGUUCAAAUCCCUGCUCAGCCA